GACGAACGCUGGCGGCGUGCCUAAUACAUGCAAGUAGAACGCACAGUUUAUACCGUAGCUUGCUACACCAUAGACUGUGAGUUGCGAACGGGUGAGUAACGCGUAGGUAACCUGCCUGGUAGCGGGGGAUAACUAUUGGAAACGAUAGCUAAUACCGCAUAAUAUUAAUUAUUGCAUGAUAAUUAAUUGAAAGGUGCAAUUGCACCACUACCAGAUGGACCUUCGUUGUAUUAGCUAGUAGGUGAGGUAACGGCUCACCUAGGCGACGAUACAUAGCCGACCUGAGAGGGUGACCGGCCACACUGGGACUGAGACACGGCCCAGACUCCUACGGGAGGCAGCAGUAGGGAAUCUUCGGCAAUGGACGAAAGUCUGACCGAGCAACGCCGCGUGAGUGAAGAAGGUUUUCGGAUCGUAAAGCUCUGUUGUAAGAGAAGAACGGGUGUGAGAGUGGAAAGUUCACACUGUGACGGUAUCUUACCAGAAAGGGACGGCUAACUACGU
rnacentral:rRNA from 1 species